GGGCCCGUAGUCCAGCGGUAAACCUUUUAGGAAAAGGUUUAAUCCAAAACCUAAAAAGUCCGUAGAAGACGUCUCGUUUACACCGAGAAGAUCCUUGGUUCGAAUCCGAGCGGGCCCA
rnacentral:tRNA from 1 species